AGCGCAAUGGUAGCGCGUCAGACUUCUACUCUGCUUGCCAGUGUUAUCUGAAGGUUGCGGGUUCGAGUCCCGC
rnacentral:tRNA from 1 species